CAUGGAGGGUGAGAAUCCCGUCCGGCUGACCUUCAGGACGUUUUACGAUACGCUCUCAAAGAGUCGAGUUGUUUGGGAUUGCAGCUCAAAAUGGGAGGUAAAUUUCUCCUAAGGCUAAAUACCGGCGAGAGACCGAUAGCGAACAAGUACCGUGAGGGAAAGAUGAAAAGAAUUUUGAAAAGAAAGUCAAACAGUACGUGAAAUUGUUGAAAGGGAAACGAUUGAAGCCAGUCGUACCGACGGGAAUUCAACUUCUCGAGUGCUAAUCGUGGGUGACGUUGAGCCUCACGGCCUUCGUUGCUUGUGUUGUUGGUGCUUUUGGGGUGUACUUUUCCGUAUUGGUAGGUCAGCAUCGAUUUCGAUCGUCAUAAAAUGAUCGGGGGAAUGUAGCUUCGGUCUCGUAUCGGAGUGUUAUAGACCUUGGUAGAUGUGACGAUUGGGAUCGAGGAUUGCAACGAAUACCCUCUGGGCUAUCCGUCUGUCCUCUGAAAGUCGCUCGGGUGUCGAAAGCGUGCUUAUGGCUAUUCGAGUUGGCGGUCAACAGGUUAGAACGUGAUUACAUUCGUUAAGGAUGUUGACGUA
rnacentral:rRNA from 1 species